GGGAGCCAGAUUUUUUUCCCUUCCCUUGGCAAUCCCUUCCGCUUCCCCGGCUCCUGGCGUGACAUCUGCGGGCCGGGGACCUGUAUGUGUGUGCGCGCGAAGGAGCGGAAGAAUGGCCGUGCUCAAACUCACCGACCAGCCACCACUGGUCCAAGCAAUCUUCAGCGGUGAUCCAGAGGAGAUACGGAUGCUCAUCCACAAAACAGAAGAUGUGAAUGCUCUGGAUUCUGAGAAGCGAACCCCACUUCAUGUGGCUGCGUUUCUGGGAGAUGCAGAGAUAAUUGAACUCCUGAUUCUGUCAG